rnacentral:rRNA from 1 species
AGCAGUAGCCACGGGAAUACGAAGGGUGCAAGCGUUACUCGGAAUUACUGGGCGUAAAGCGUGCGUAGGUGGUGGUUUAAGUCCGUUGUGAAAGCCCUGGGCUCAACCUGGGAAUUGCAGUGGAUACUGGGUCACUAGAGUGUGGUAGAGGAUAGUGGAAUUUCCGGUGUAGCAGUGAAAUGCGUAGAGAUCGGAAGGAACAUCUGUGGCGAAGGCGACUAUCUGGGCCAACACUGACACUGAGGCACGAAAGCGUGGGGAGCAAACAGGAUUAGAUACCCCCGUAGUCCCUGUCUCUUAUAA